rnacentral:rRNA from 1 species
AUUGAACGCUGGCGGCAGGCUUAACACAUGCAAGUCGAGCGGAGCGAGGGUGCUUGCACCUUAGCUUAGCGGCGGACGGGUGAGUAAUGCUUAGGAAUCUGCCUAUUAGUGGGGGACAACAUUCCGAAAGGAAUGCUAAUACCGCAUACGCCCUAAGGGGGAAAGCAGGGGAUCUUCGGACCUUGCGCUAAUAGAUGAGCCUAAGUCGGAUUAGCUAGUUGGUGGGGUAAAGGCCUACCAAGGCGACGAUCUGUAGCGGGUCUGAGAGGAUGAUCCGCCACACGGGGACUGGGACACGGCCCAGACUCCUACGGGAGGCAGCAGUGGGGAAUAUUGGACAAUGGGCGGAAGCCUGAUCCAGCCAUGCCGCGUGUGUGAAGAAGGCCUUUUGGUUGUAAAGCACUUUAAGCGAGGAGGAGGCUACUUAGAUUAAUACUCUAGGAUAGUGGACGUUACUCGCAGAAUAAGCACCGGCUAACUCUGUGCCAGCAGCCGCCGUAAAAC